GCCUAUGGAAGCUGCGCUCUGAGGGGCCGGGCGGAAGGAGCCGCGUUCCGCCGCUCGGUUGGCCCCGCCCGGAGCUCCGGGCCUCUCCCCGGCCCAGAGCUGCAGGGAGAGCAGCAGGGACACCGCGACCCCGCUCUGUUCCCUGCUUUGCCCCGGUGGGACCCGUGUGUGCGGCUCCCGGUGCCGCGAACAGCAGCCGGAGCCGCCUUAAGGCGCAUGCACAAACCGCCUCCACCGAGCCACCUUAAACCAGCCGCGGUGGCGCUGAGAGCUCACCUGUGAUUGGGCGCCUGCUGCAGUGUCAAAGUAACAGGCACGGUGAUUGGAGAGGAGCUGAGGCGGCUGUUGUCUCGGCAACCGGGUGUCCGCAUUCCCGGUGCCGCCGAGGGCCGGGGAUGCAGCGGCAGGGACGGGCAGGUACCGGCAGGUCAUCCCAACAUGGAUUCCCUCACCAAGGGAAAAACAGUCACAGACAUCCCACCUAAAAAAGAACAACAAAUUUACUCCAGAUGUACUCCAGAGUCUGCAGCCUCAGUCACACAAACCUACCAGGGAAACAAAGACAACUUUCCAGCCCUGCAGAGCCACACCACACACUGAGCUCCCAGCUGCCUGCCCGAUGAUGCAAGGAGUGAAUAAGCACGAAUAAAGACACAGAAACUGGGUGUUGUUUGUAGAAGUGAGGAGCAGAGCCCUCCACCCAGCACUGGGGAUACCAGAGCUCUUGCACAACUCAGCUCUCAGCCUGCUGCUCCUUUUUAUGCAUCUCCGUCUCUGUGGGCACUUUUGCACCAGGAGCACUCAGGAAGUUUCCCUUCCUCCCCGGCUGGGGGAGGAAGCAGCUCCUGGCCUGUGAGCAGCAGAGCUGGGAUGCCAGAGUGGGAUUCCUGCGUCAGGAUUUCCCUCAGCCUCUGCUCACCAUGAGCAGGCCUGUGCUGGCCUGCCAGGGCUGCCUCACAGCAGCUAAUUACUGCUGCUGGGCUCUAAGGAUUGGAAGAUGAUCAUUAACUACAAUUGGUUUGAAAGCUUCCAGUUUUGUAGAUGUUGAGUAAUUAAACCAACCAAUGAGCUGCUCUGUGUUUUCAUCUGAGAAGUGCCAGUGCUGGAGUCACCUUGGAGGGGAAUCAGUCCUGACCAGGGUGGGAAUGAGGGACAAGGGCAGGGGGCAGAUCCUGCUGGCUCAGGGAGGGCACUGGGGUCUGGCACACCCCCAGCUCCUAGAGCAGCUCAUGUGAACCUUUCUGAGCACAGAGCAGGGUCCUGGCAGCUCCCGAGGGAGCCCUUUGCAAAACACUCGGAGCUUUCACACGACCUUUGGUGCUCGGGGUGAAAAUCGCCUUCAUCGCUCCUAUCUCAAUCUUCAAAAGGAACUGGUGGGCUCCGGGCGAGGAGUCAGGAAUGCUCUCACAUAUUUGGGAGCUCCGCUUUACGCAACCUCGCAGCAACUCGCCUUGGCUGGAAGGGAUGAGCGAUACUGAGCCAGUCAGCAAAACACCCACCUGUGCGGGCAGGGCUGGGGACUGAGCCCCGGCAGCGCGAUCAGCCCCGCACAGCCCGGAGCGCGCUGAGAGCGCCCGGCUCUGCCCCCACCCCGCCCCAGAGGGGACACUCAUCCCGCAGAGACACCCGGGGAGCUGCAGCCAGCGUGGGCCUCACCCUGCAAAACCUAGGAUGGGUAUGUGGGAAAGAGAACCCCAUAAAAUCCAGCAAAAUUCAUCUUUGUUCUGCUGAGAAUAUAAGGUUACAA